AACUCGAAAUCGCCGAUAUGCGAGAGGCGAAGCUUGAGGAAGGCUCCGUAGCUGUCAGCUUCAGCUCAUGGUCAGACGAAGAAGCAUCGUCCUUCGGGGUUGGCGGUGGUAUGGUGGCUGGCUGGAGAGCUUGCUGCCAUGCCUUUGUCAUGGAUACUGGUUUAGGCCCGGAAGGGAGCGGACUCACUGUGGACGUUGGCGCUUGGAGGGUAGCGAUGCGGAGGAAGACCUUGAGGGUCUGGCUGGUAGCGAAAGUGCCGACCGAGAGCGUGCCCGCAC
rnacentral:SRP_RNA from 1 species